GAUGAACGCUGGCGGCGUGCUUAACACAUGCAAGUCGAACGGAAAGGCCCAAGCUUGCUUGGGUACUCGAGUGGCGAACGGGUGAGUAACACGUGGGUGAUCUGCCCUGCACUUCGGGAUAAGCCUGGGAAACUGGGUCUAAUACUGGAUAGGACCACUUCUUGGAUGGUGUGGUGGAAAGUUUUUUCGGUGUGGGAUGAGCUCGCGGCCUAUCAGCUUGUUGGUGGGGUAAUGGCCUACCAAGGCGUCGACGGGUAGCCGGCCUGAGAGGGUGUACGGCCACAUUGGGACUGAGAUACGGCCCAGACUCCUACUGGAGGCAGCAGUGGGGAAUAUUGCACAAUGGGCGCAAGCCUGAUGCAGCGACGCCGCGUGGGGGAUGACGGCCUUCGGGUUGUAAACUCCUUUCGCUAGGGACGAAGCGUUUUUGUGACGGUACCUGGAGAAGAAGCACCGGCUAACUACGUG
rnacentral:rRNA from 1 species